GCCCUUCCACAGCCAGGUCCCCAGGCUAGACACAGCCCUGUCCUUUCCUUCUCAGGCACCAGGGACAACUGGGAAGGACUGCUUCCAAAUGUCCAAGCUCCAAAUGCCCCACAAAACAUGGAGUGGGCGAGUGGAUAUGGGGCGAGUGGAUGAGAAAGGGAGAGACCAGUGGCCUCAGAACUUGCCAUCAGCAGUUCGUCUCGCACCAGUUCCCCGGGCUCAGCUUCCGCCUCCAUUUCCCUUCUCUCUUGCCCCAGUCUGUCACAGCUGGGGAAGGAGGCCAGCGUGUGCAGGUCUAGGAUCCCCCUACGCCCGCGAUGUCACUGCUGCUGUUUCUGUUGCCCUUGCUGUUGGGAGGAUCUCAAGGUCAAGACAGACGAUACAACCUACAGGUGAACAGACUGGUGAAGGUGCAGGAGGGUCUGUGUGUUGUCGUGCCCUGCUCUUUCUCCUCCCCCGAGAGCCGCUGGGUUGGCUCUGGCCCAGCUUACGGCUACUGGUUCAAAGGCAUCAGAAAACCAACACUUAAAUUUCCAGUGGCCACAAAUAACAAAGAUAAAGAGAUAGAACCAGAAGCCCAGGGGCGAUUCCAGCUCUUGGGGGAUCUCCCAAACAAGAACUGUUCCUUGAUGAUCAAAGAUGUGCAGUGGAGAGACUUGGGAAGCUAUUUCUUCCGGGUGGAGAAAGGAUCUGAGAAAUUCAGUUUUCCCGAAGGCUUCUAUCUGCAAGUAGAAGGCCUGACUCACAAGCCAGAUGUCUUCAUUCCUGAGAUCCUGGAACCUGGGCAGCCAGUGACAAUUGUCUGCUUGUUUCCCUGGACCUUCAAGCAAUGCCCAGAUCCUUCUUUCUCCUGGAUGGGGGCUGCCAUCUCCUCCCAAGAAACCAGACCACACACCUCCUAUUACUCGGUACUCAGCUUUACCCCAGGACCUGAGCACCAUGAUACUGAGCUCACAUGUCAAGUGGACUUGUCUAGAAAGAGAAUACAGAGGACUGUCCAACUAAGAAUGGCCUAUGCCCCCAGAGAUCUUGUUAUCAGCAUUUUCCGUGACAAUGUGUCAGAAUUGCAUGGGAACACCCCACAUCUGGAAGUCCAGCAAGGCCAGUCUCUGCGCCUCCUCUGUGCUGCUGACAGCCAGCCCCCUGCCACACUGAGCUGGGGCCUGGAGAACCGAGUCCUCUCUUGGUCCAGCCCUGUGAGCUCCAGAACCCUGGCACUGGAGCUACUCCAGGUGAAAGCUGGGGACUCAGGACACUACACCUGCCAAGCAGAGAACAGGCUGGGUUCCCAGCAACACACCCUGGACCUCUCUGUGCUGUAUCCCCCAGAGGACCUGAGAGUGACUGUUUCCCAGGCAAACAGGACAGUGUUGGAAAUCCGCAGGAAUGGCACCUCCCUUCCAGUCCUGGAGGGCCAAAGCCUGUGUCUAGUCUGUGUCACUCACAGCAACCCCCCAGCCAAUCUGAGCUGGACUGGGGUGGCACAGACUCUGAUCCCAACCCAGCCUUCAGAGCCGGGGGUGCUGGAGCUGCCUCUGGUCCGGAGGGAACAUGAAGGAGAAUUCAGCUGUGCUGCGCAGAACCCACUGGGCACCCAGUACAUCUCUCUGAGCCUCUCUGUGCACUACCCCCCACAGAUGCUCAGCUCCUCCUGCUCCUGGGAAGCUGAGGGUCUGCACUGCAGCUGCUCCUCCAGAGCCUGGCCCACCCCGUCCCUGCGCUGGCGGCUGGGGGAGGGGCUGCUGGAGGGGAACAGCAGCAAUGUCUCCUUCACGGUCACCUCCAGCUCACUUGGACCCUGGGUCAACAGUUCUCUGAGCUUCCAUGGGGAGCUCGGGCCCAGCCUCCGGCUCAGCUGUGAGGUCUGGAACACCCAUGGGGCCCAGAGCGCCUCUGUCCUGCUACUGCCUGAUAAGAACAGUUCCACAGCGUUCUCCAAGGGAGUAGUUUUGGGCUUUGGGAUUGCAGCCUUCCUUGCCCUCUGCCUCAUGAUCAUCGUGAAGACCCUCCAGAAGAAAGGAACCCAAGAGGAAACCUCAAGACCCAAGAUCUCUCGGGGCAGCACAAUCCUGGAUUACAUCAAUGUGGUCCCCAAGACCAGGUCCCUGCAGUCUCCAGAUGCCACCACAUGAGUGUUCUGGUUGAACUGCUAGGCCUAUGUCUCCUGGACCUCAAAUCUCCAUACAUGGAGUUGGCCAGCAACAGGGGUCCCAGGAUGGAACUCAAGUCUCCAAGCUUGCAUUACAAGCACCUUUACCCACCCAGCCAUCCUUUUGGCCUCCAUCUUGUUCUUUCUUAAGCACACCCCCAAACUCUGUUAGAGUGCUUGAAUUUGUUGUUGCCUUCCUUCAGAGAAUUUUGCAGAAACUGCAUGGUUCCUGGCUUCAUUUAAUACUCUUUGCUUGAUAAUCACCCCAUCAAAGAUGCUCAGAAUGACCUGUUCACUUAUUAUUUGGCAUUUAUAUAUAACAAUUGUGUCUGUUUAUACAUACCAUGUGCCACUCACUAUACUCACACAGUACAGUGAUGAAAUUGGGAUAAUUAACAAAUGCCCUCUACCUCAGAAUUAUUUCUUUGUGGUGAGACUAUUUUAUCUGUAGCUAUGACUCUUCUUUUAAUUUUGUUUAAGGUUUUUUUUUUUUCUCUUGGAAAUAGG